rnacentral:lncRNA from 1 species
CCCCACUAGAUUAGCUAGACACAGAGUACUGAUUGGUGCAUUUACAAACCUCUAGCUAGACACAGAGUGCUGAUUGGUGGAUUCACAAACCUUUAGCUAGACACAGAGUGCUGAUUGGUGCAUUCACAAUCCUCCAGGUAGACAGAAAAGUUCUCCAAGUCCCUACCCGUCCCAGAAGCCCAGCCGGCUUCACCUCUCACUGGCACUCGCCUGUGGCGCCUAGCCCGGGCACUCCGGCAGCCCAGUUGGAGCUCCUCCCGCAAUCAAGCCCAGCAGCUGCUGGCCAGCCACGCCCAGUGUGGGGCCGCCAAGCCCCCGCCCACCCGGAACUCUUGAAGGCCUGUGAGCGCCACCAGAAGCCCCGGCUCCCGCAGGCGCCUCUCGCUCCACACCUCCACGCAAGCAGAGGGAGUCGGCUCCAGCCUCGGCCAGCCCCAGAGAGGGGCCCCCACAGUGCAGUGGCGGCCAGAGCGGAUGCCGAGGCCCAGGAGAGGCCGAGAGUGAGCGAGGGCUGCUAGCACGUUGUCACCUCUCACUAACACCAGAAGAGGUGGAGAUGGUCCAUAUUUACAACAUUUGUUGCAGACAAUGAGACAAAUUUAGUCCAUACUCCACAAAUUGCCAGAAGUAAUGUUAUUUGACCCAACAGGAGGGAGAAAGCGGAAUUUGUGUGGAGAGUAAGAUGCUGAUGUUUGGAUGUGCAGAGAAGAGUUUCCAUAUAGCAGGAAAAGCCCUUUUUCCUUUCUCUCCAGCUUGUAAGGAA